GACGAACGCUGGCGGCGUGCCUAAUACAUGCAAGUUGAGCGCUGAAGGUUGGUACUUGUACCAACUGGAUGAGCAGCGAACGGGUGAGUAACGCGUGGGGAAUCUGCCUUUGAGCGGGGGACAACAUUUGGAAACGAAUGCUAAUACCGCAUAAAAACUUUAAACACAAGUUUUAAGUUUGAAAGAUGCAAUUGCAUCACUCAAAGAUGAUCCCGCGUUGUAUUAGCUAGUUGGUGAGGUAAAGGCUCACCAAGGCGAUGAUACAUAGCCGACCUGAGAGGGUGAUCGGCCACAUUGGGACUGAGACACGGCCCAAACUCCUACAGGAGGCAGCAGUAGGGAAUCUUCGGCCAUGGACGAAAGUCUGACCGAGCAACGCCGCGUGAGUGAAGAAGGUUUUCGGAUCGUAAAACUCUGUUGGUAGAGAAGAACGUUGGUGAGAGUGGAAAGCUCAUCAAGUGACGGUAACUACCCAGAAAGGGACGGCUAACUACGUG
rnacentral:rRNA from 1 species